rnacentral:rRNA from 1 species
AGCGAACGCUGGCGGCAGGCCUAACACAUGCAAGUCGAACGAACCUUUCGGGGUUAGUGGCGGACGGGUGAGUAACACGUGGGAACGUGCCUUUAGGUUCGGAAUAACUCAGGGAAACUUGUGCUAAUACCGAAUGUGCCCUUCGGGGGAAAGAUUUAUCGCCUUUAGAGCGGCCCGCGUCUGAUUAGCUAGUUGGUUGAGGUAAUGGCUCACCAAGGCGACGAUCAGUAGCUGGUCUGAGAGGAUGAUCAGCCACAUUGGGACUGAGACACGGCCCAAACUCCUACGGGAGGCAGCAGUGGGGAAUCUUGCGCAAUGGACGAAAGCCUGACGCAGCCAUGCCGCGUGAAUGAUGAAGGUCUUAGGAUUGUAAAAUUCUUUCACCGGGGACGAUAAUGACGGUACCCGGAGAAGAAGCCCCGGCUAACUUCGUG